rnacentral:rRNA from 1 species
GUUCACGCAGUGACGGUAUCCAACCAGAAAGUCACGGCUAACUACGUGCCAGCAGCCGCGGUAAUACGUAGGUGGCAAGCGUUAUCCGGAUUUAUUGGGCGUAAAGCGAGCGCAGGCGGUUGCUUAGGUCUGAUGUGAAAGCCUUCGGCUUAACCGAAGAAGUGCAUCGGAAACCGGGCGACUUGAGUGCAGAAGAGGACAGUGGAACUCCAUGUGUAGCGGUGGAAUGCGUAGAUAUAUGGA